rnacentral:tRNA from 1 species
UGUCGUCCUUAGUUUAUUGGAAUUGCAGUUUGUCGUGUUGUAGGAAUAGUCUGUUAGAUUAUAG